rnacentral:lncRNA from 1 species
GCGGGGAGGGCUGUCUAAAGUCCCCUUCCCACAAGGACUGGGAUCCCAGCUGCAGCAGGCCCUGUUGGGUGGGCUGGAGUGGAGGGGCCCACGGUGAGCAGCAGCACCUGAGGCCCGUGGUCACUGAGAGCGGUUGCUCUGAGGGAGGACAGGCCACUCCAGGCGUUGGCUGGAGGAGGGCUCUGCAGCAGCAUCAGAGGUGGGCAUCGCACGGUGGUUCCCCCAGUCUGGAUCAGGGCCUUCCCUGAGCAAGAAACCCAGAGCCCAGACACGCACACACGCACAGGCAUGCCACACAUGUGGACAUCAGGGCACAGCGUUGGGGGUGUUGCAUGUUGUUGACUGCUCUGUGCACUCAGCCAGCGUCCCCACAUGCUACACGUGGUCCCAGGAACAGGGCUGGCUCGCAGUGUUUCCUUGAACCCAGUACCGGCACGCAGAGCUGGGGCCUGGUUGAGGAUUUCUGAGUCUCCCACUCUUCAUUUCUGAACAGCACUGUCCAUCUGUUCUCAGUGGUAACUUCUGCUGGAAGCCACUGGACAGAGAUGUGUCCCCAAGGAGAGCUCUAGACCUGAGAACAGUUGGGCAAUGCCUCUGUGCACACGUUCCUUCUCAGCAUCAAGCCGGUCUCUCUGCCUUCCCUGUCCUGGGCUUCUCUGCCUCUCCCACACCAGGGCCCUAGAGGUCAGACUGAGCUGGGCUCCAAGUGGACCAGGUCCAAGCAGAGCCAUGCAGGCCUGUCGUGGUUGGAGGCUCUGGCCCCUUAGUAUCCCCCGUCCGCAUGGGUAUGGGUACCUUGAGAGGAGCAGGGAGUGCCCCUGUCAGGGAGGACCCAGUCCUCUCCUCCCACUCCCUGAAGCCUGCAGCAGCUGAGUGGAGGCAGAGGACCCAGUACCCUUCUUGCCCACCUACUGGUUUAGCAAGACCUCAGCACAGCCACCAAGCACCCCCAACCUCAUUCCUGAGCCUACUGUCCUCUCUGGAGCCUGUCUCUGCCCCUGGAUUGAACCCUGACCCAGAGCAGAGCUCCUGCAGCAGCCUGAGAGUGCCCCCUGUGGGCACCAGCCCCUCUGAGCACCUCUGGGCUGGGUGCUCUGCCUGGCCAGCUGUAGCAUGGCCUUCCUUGGGAGGGCUCCAGACACCAGCGCUCAAGUCAGCUUUUCACAAACCCCUGGGUGCUCGUGCAUGUAGGAGAGAACAAGGGAGGCUAGUUCCCUUUUGGGACCACAGUGAAGCUGCUGGAGAAUGACAUGAAAUCACAGUAGGAGAUGUGCAAACAGAGCAGGCAGCACAAGGUGGGUUUGAGGCCACUGCUCUGGAAGCCCUCCGAGCACUUAUCCACAGGCAGGAGGUCAGAAUGAGCACCCCAGCCUUCUCCUGCAUGCAGUGAGGGCUGGCCACACAGCACAUCCUGGGCAGAGAGGACCUCCACUGAGCCCAUGGUCACUGCUGGUGGCAGAGGAGCUGUUCAAGAAACCUGCAGGUGACAUUCUCAUUGUGAAGGAGCAUGUGCUGUCAGUCUAGGUGGGAACAAGGCACAGAGAGCCAACACAUGUGGCAAGAAGGAGAACUGGGUCCUAGGCAGAGACUGAAGGGGCAGAACUCGCUGCUCACAGGUGGGGCAACCGUCAUGCCACGUGUGAGAAAUCUACCAGAGACAGGAACGAGUCAGCUCAGCAAGGUCGCAGGAAACCAGGUUCACAAAGAGCACUGUGCCCCAACACAGGAGCAGGUGAUGGGGAAGUCCAUGACACCAUUCACAUCAAAAACGUAAACACCUGAGAAUGUAGGAGUCGUGCCAGCCUUCUAUACUGAGCUACAAAGCACGACGAGAGAACAAGCAUCUAGACCAACCGGGAAGAGGUACUUGUUCACGGUUGCAAGGCUCGCUUAGGAGAGUGUCUUCCCCAAGGCAUUCAAGGUAAUCCAAUCUGAAUCCCAGGCUUCUUAUUUUGUAGAAAGGAAAAGCUGAUUCCAAACAGACAGGAAAAUCGGAAGGACCCACCACAGCCACAGCUAUUUUGAGUAAGAGGAGCCAAUGUUGGGGUGGGUGUUCUCACAGAGAGAAGGGCAAGAACAGCUUCCAGAAAGAGACACCUGCGUGUCCAGGAAGGUGCCCUGUGGCCCGGCUGGGCACUGCCUUUCAGAACUACUGGAUGUACACAGACACAUGGUCCUUAGCUGGGACAGGCGCAGCUCAGUGGCAGAGCACUGGCCUUGCAUGCACAGGGCCCCAGGAUCCCUCCCCAUACCACAGACAAAAAGAACAUUGACCCUUGUUUCAUACCCAUUCACAAACACCAAUUUGAAAUAGAUUCUAGGCCUACAUUAAAAGUAAAACUUGAAUAUAUUAGUGUGGUAGCCAUUAGCUAUUUAAAUCACAGCUGGUGGCUACAUGCAGGGCAGCUCAGGUAGGUAAGCUUUCCAUCAACACAGUCCUGCUGGGUAGUGACUACAGUAGUCUGCUUUUCAUCUCUGUAAGAAAAUGCCUGAGGUAGUCGGCUCGUAAGGAGGAAAGGUUUACUUCUGCUCAGUGUUGAAGGUCUUAAUAUUACUUGGCCCGUUGAUCUCUGAGCCUGUGGCAUACUUCAUGGGGGAGCAUGUGGUUUGUCACAAUUGCUCACCUUGCUACAGGAAGCAGAAGACAGAAAGGGCCUGGGUCCCCCAGUCUCCUCCUAGUCCCCAGCCCAUGACCUAGACCUCCCAGUAGGCCCCACCUUGACCAGGCCUCACCACCUCCCUGGGCACGAGCCUUCGACACAGCCUCAGGGAACACCUAGCAUCCCAACCAGGACCUCUCCCGACCUCGGCUGGAGGCACAAUCCAUGAGAGGAAGUGCUACCAGACUGGACCAGGAGCAGUGGGAGGAGGCCAGAAGGGGCAGGAGAGGCCGGCCACCUGGGAGAAAGGUCUACACUCCAUGUCCACGUUCCUGACACAGGGCUUGUGUCCAGAGUAAGUGAAUAACACUUGUGACCUGGGAAUAAGAAGAUAAUCCAGUUUUUUAAAAAAGCAAAAGUUUUGAGAAGACCCAGAGGUGUACAAAUGACCAAUAAGCAUGUGGAAAUAUGCCUGAUAUCAGUCACGCAUCACCAAGAUCGAGGGUCCAUGGGGUGCCCACUGGAUGCUCACCCUUAAAAAUAGGCGCCAAGGGCUGGCGAGCACACGGAGCAGCCUGGGAGCCUAAGCAGCCCGUGUGGCCGUCCCUCCCCACGCACCUGCUCAGGAGGGCGGAGGCACGUGCACGCGGUGCACCCCAUGUAGCUGUGGUUGCUAGAAACCAGCAGGGCCCAGAUGGGCUUAGGAGGUGAAGGACAAGCAUGCCCGGUGCCUGUAAGUGCUAGGCAGGCCAGACCACGUGGGACAGGGGGCUCUGUCCUGACAGGAAUGGGUCAGUGCCGGCCUGUGGCCAGAGGAGGGUCAGUGGAGCAGUCCUGCCUGACAAGCACAGCGGUCAGGAGGUAUGUGUCUGUCCAAGCACAUUUAACCUUGUGCUUCCGUGCCUGUGAAUUGCACCUCAAUAAAAUUAAUUUUU